rnacentral:rRNA from 1 species
UACGAAGGGUGCAAGCGUUACUCGGAAUUACUGGGCGUAAAGGGUGCGUAGGUGGUUUGUUAAGUCUGCUGUGAAAUCUCCAGGCUCAACCUGGAGGGGUCAUUCGAUACUGCCGUGACUAGAGUUCGGUAGAGGAGUGUGGAAUUCCUGGUGGAGCGGUGAAAUGCGCAGAGAUCAGGAGGAACACCCGUAGCGAAGGCGGCACUCUGGGCCGAUACUGACACUGAGGAGCGAAAGCGUGGGGAGCGAACAGG